rnacentral:misc_RNA from 1 species
AAGGAGUCUAACAUAUAUGCGAGUGUGGGAGUGGAGAAACUCAUACGCGGCAUGAAAGUAAAAGAGGCGCAGCGCAAGCAACAGCAUCGACCGACCUAGUAAAAACGGUUUGAGUGAGGGCAUAUCUGUUAGGACCCGAAAGAUGGUGAACUAUGCCUGAGUAGGGUGAAGUCAGGGGAAACCCUGAUGGAGGCUCGUAGCGUUGUUGACGUGCAAAUCACUCGUCAAACUUGGGUAUAGGGGCGAAAGACUAAUCGAACCAUCUAGUAGCUGGUUCCCUC